CUGCGAAUAUUCUCGCUGUUCUGAUUUUGUAAUAAUCAGGGCAGGCUAAACAUUCGCUAUAUUAAGACCAUGCAUGUGUCCCCAGACCUAGUUCUUUUCCUAGGUCUGGUUUUAUAAAUGCUGGUGAUAAAC
rnacentral:snoRNA from 2 species